rnacentral:rRNA from 1 species
UACGAAGGGGGCUAGCGUUGCUCGGAAUCACUGGGCGUAAAGGGCGCGUAGGCGGACUUUUAAGUCGGAGGUGAAAGCCCAGGGCUCAACCCUGGAAUUGCCUUCGAUACUGGGAGUCUUGAGUUCGGAAGAGGUUGGUGGAACUGCGAGUGUAGAGGUGAAAUUCGUAGAUAUUCGACGAAGACACCAGUGGCGAAGGCGGCAUCUGGACGUGU